UUUUAAAUUGCGGGAGUUUUUGACUAACAAAGGUAUGUAAUAAGGCUUUAAUUGAGUGCUAAGGGAAGGAUUUUCAAAAAAAAUCUUUUUUAAGUUUAAUAUUUGAAUUUAUUUUUAUUUGUGAAGAAACAAUAAUAAAAAUUAAAGACAAGAAGACCCUAUGAAUUUUUAUAAUUAUUUAUAAUUUAAAUUAAAUUAUAAAUAAUUAUUUAAUUGGGGCGAUUUAAAAAAAUAAUUAACUUUUUUAUUCAAAAAAUUGAUCCAUUAAUAAUGAUUUCAUGAAAAAAAUACUCUAGGGAUAACAGCGUAAUAAUUUUAGAUAGAUCUUAUAGAAAAAAUAGUUUGCGACCUCGAUGUUGGAUUAGGAUACUUUUUUA
rnacentral:rRNA from 1 species